UACAGAGGUCUCAAGCGUUGUUCGGAUUCAUUGGGCGUAAAGGGUGCGUAGGCGGCGCGGUAAGUCGGGUGUGAAAUCUCGGGGCUUAACUCCGAAACUGCAUUCGAUACUGCCGUGCUUGAGGACUGGAGAGGAGACUGGAAUUUACGGUGUAGCGGUGAAAUGCGUAGAUAUCAGGAGGAACACCAGCGGCGAAGGCGCUGCUCUGGGCCGGUACUGACGCUGAGGAGCGAAAGCGUGGGGAGCGAACAGG
rnacentral:rRNA from 1 species